rnacentral:rRNA from 1 species
ACCCCGCUGACGAGCGGCGGACGGGUGAGUAAUGCAUAGGAAACUGCCCAGUAGUGGGGGAUAGCCCGGGGAAACCCGGAUUAAUACCGCGUACGCCCUUCGGGGGAAAGCAGGGGAUCUUCGGACCUUGCGCUAUUGGAUGUGCCUAUGUCGGAUUAGCUAGUUGGUGGGGUAAAGGCCUACCAAGGCGACGAUCCGUAGCUGGUCUGAGAGGAUGAUCAGCCACAUCGGGACUGAGACACGGCCCGAACUCCUACGGGAGGCAGCAGUGGGGAAUAUUGGACAAUGGGGGCAACCCUGAUCCAGCCAUGCCGCGUGUGUGAAGAAGGCUUUCGGGUUGUAAAGCACUUUCAGUGAGGAGGAAAAGUUGGUCGUUAAUACCGGCCAGCCUUGACGUUACUCACAGAAGAAGCACCGGCUAACUCCGUGCCAGCAGCCGCGGUAAUACGGAGGGUGCAAGCGUUAAUCGGAAUUACUGGGCGUAAAGCGCGCGUAGGUGGUUUGAUAAGCGAGAUGUGAAAGCCCCGGGCUUAACCUGGGAACGGCAUUUCGAACUGUCAGGCUAGAGUAUGGUAGAGGAGUGUGGAAUUUCCUGUGUAGCGGUGAAAUGCGUAGAUAUAGGAAGGAACACCAGUGGCGAAGGCGGCACUCUGGACCAAUACUGACACUGAGGUGCGAAAGCGUGGGGAGCAAAACAGGAUUAGAUACCCUGGUAGUCCACGCCGUAAACGAUGUCUACUAGCCGUUGGGACUCUUGAAGUCUUAGUGGCGCAGCUAACGCACUAAGUAGACCGCCUGGGGAGUACGGCCGCAAGGUUAAAACUCAAAUGAAUUGACGGGGGCCCGCACAAGCGGUGGAGCAUGUGGUUUAAUUUGACGCAACGCGAAGAACCUUACCUGGCCUUGACAUGCAGAGAACUUUCCAGAGAUGGAUUGGUGCCUUCGGGAACUCUGACACAGGUGCUGCAUGGCCGUCGUCAGCUCGUGUCGUGAGAUGUUGGGUUAAGUCCCGUAACGAGCGCAACCCCUAUCCCUAGUUGCUAGCAGUUCGGCUGAGAACUCUAGGGAGACUGCCGGUGACAAACCGGAGGAAGGUGGGGAUGACGUCAGGUCAUCAUGGCCCUUACGGCCAGGGCUACACACGUGCUACAAUGGCGCGCACAGAGGGCUGCAAACCCGCGAGGGGGAGCCAAUCUCACAAAACGCGUCGUAGUCCGGAUCGCAGUCUGCAACUCGACUGCGUGAAGUCGGAAUCGCUAGUAAUCGUGAAUCAGAAUGUCACGGUGAAUACGUUCCCGGGCCUUGUACACACCGCCCGUCACACCAUGGGAGUGGAUUGCACCAGAAGUGG